rnacentral:misc_RNA from 1 species
AAAGCUGCUCUUUUCAAAACCGGUUAACCAGUUUGUUUUGCUUUGCGUGUUGGUACCCUAGAACUGCAGCGACCGGUUAAGUACCCUAUCAGUCUGUCGAAGCAACGAAAGUGAAACCGCAUGGCAGUGCGUCGGAAAUGUGUGGUGUUUUCGGCGACGUGAUCAGAAAUGGACGUCUCGACACAAACAUGCCUGUCACCGUACGUUUGGAAGAUGAUCUGCGAGACGGGAAUGUCGAUAGAUCUCGAAAACAUUCUUACAAAGGCCCUUACCAUUGACACGGUGCGGCUGAGAAGCGUUUUGGACCUUUGUGAAGUCAUGCAAAGCAACGAGGCAUGGCACUCAAGGACAUUGGAGGUUCUGUCACCAUCAAUCCAUCACAUCGGAACAGUCUACGCAGAACUGUCUAACGAUGAAUUUCAGGUCAACGCAAUCAUAGUUUCCUCAUGGACGGGUGCAGAGAAGGACAUUCAAGACUGCUUUGAGUGGCUGAAGUGUGAUGACCCUUGCGGGCCUGUCCUGGCCAUACUUAGGAUAACUGCCAUCCUGGAGCAUUCUCUCGGCAACGUUCUGUUUGAAAAAGGCAUUCAGGUGCCAUUUCUUCUAAAAGACAUCCUGACUGCACCACAGCUACAUGAAACCUUUGGACCCGAACUUAUGACCCUCUUGAAAGUCAUUGUGGGUCCUCCGCAGUCUCUCAACCUGCGCAAUGUCAUGUGGCACGGGUUUGUCAGGCCAGAGGAAGUUGACAGCAGAUAUGCCUAUCUCUUGAUCUGCAUUGUCCUGAGCCUCGGAGAACAGAUGAUGCUUCGCCAUGGUGUUGAUGGACAGAACAUGCAACGCCGCAAAUGCUUUUCGCUGGAGAGGUAUGCGACAGUGCUGGAUGACUUUCAAGGUGUCCAUUUCAGUCAAGAACAAUUCCUGUCAGUACUUGAGUCCAGUUCUCUGGUUCUUCCGGGAAGAAUGGCAUACUGGCGUACGUGCAUGGAUCUUCUAAGCAAGGGUUUGUACGCUGAAUGUUUAACGUUGGCAUUGCCCCAGUUAGAAUGCGUGCUGAGGGUUCUCUACACAAAAGUAAAUGAGUGCUCCCAUCGCCUACUAACAGCAGAGAUGUCAACAUUGUACACAACAAUGGAUGAGGUUCUUGCAAAGGAAAUGGAGUCUGGCUCGACGAAUGCUCUCAGGAUCGCCCUUGGAGACCCUCACUUUGAGAUGCUUCUCGACGUAUUUUCGUACCUUGAAGGACCGAGGUUGAGGGAUAAGAUCUCCCACGGGGAAGUUAACCUGAGAACAGUCAGCGAAGGCCUUGUUCAUCACGUCUUGCACCUGACGGCACUUACAUGCAGUAUUGAGCGACUUGUGGGUACAAAUAGUCAGAGUGACUACACUGAUGUAUUAAGGAACUUGUCAAAAAGCUAUCGGGCCCACUUUCACCCUACUCAGCUUCUGUGGAGAAAGGUACAGGAGGCCAUUGACAAGUUGUAUUGCCUUGGGACAAACCAACGACCUAGCGAAGGCUUAACCACGAAACGGAAUGCUGGUGACAUAAAUGCCUGUAUGCGUCUUCUGGGCAUGAAAUGGGACGUAGCAUUGCCAAGAAGAUGGAAUUCAAGUCUUCUUGCAGAUCUGGACCUCCUGAGAAUGUCUGUGGUGAACACUGCCCCUGAAACCGUGUUCAGGCCCAGAAAAGAACUCAUGAUUGUGACGCUGUUGAGGCAGAUAUGUGACGAAACCUGCGUCACCUUGGACCAGCUGAAUGACACGCUGGCAUCAAAGAUCAAGAACUGGAAUACGCAUGGGUUGCGGUCACGCCAGCGGGAAAACUUCAGGAGGCUCCUGGAAAGGCACGGCAAGGAUAGCGCUGUCACCACCAAAAUCAUUAUCAACCAUUUAUUAUCAUCACUGAGUCUGUGCCAACGCUGUAUGACGCAAUUUGUUUAACUCUUUGGGUAAUCUUCUGCUGCAUUAGACGAGUCAACGACACCGAGUUCCUCAAUGAGUCACAACUCGAUAAGCUGCUGAGGAUGUUAAAAGCACUGGUGAAGUUUGUCGAAAACUUACACUCUCAGACGUCUCCCACCCAAAAUCGGUGGGAUGAGUCAUGCAAGCUCUGCCAGGAAUGCGUAGUGAAGCUUCUGCGACAUUUAAACAAUGACUCGACGACGAUUUAUUCAUCACUGAGUGACCGUGUUUUGUGACACAUUGACAUCUGCAAUAUCAGAACAGUGAAAAUGUGCAUUUGUGUCCCAGGACUUAUGCAAGAUAUCGCAUGUGGAAGACCUGCAUGAGUGUGAGAUGGCCAACCCUAUCUGGCUGGUAUCUGAACACAAGUUGCCUUCGUGUGCUAUGGACACUCGAUGGGCUGGCAUAGUGUGGCGUGUUAAUGUUCCAUGCAACUCGGAAUAAAGCAUUGUAUUUAUU